ACCACAACGAAUCUUAUCUCUAUCAUCCAGCUUGGCGCUAACCUCCCGCUCGAAGUCCCCGCCGCGAAGUUUCGGAUGGAUAUGGGAGUAACGAGAAUUGCAGUUCGUAUGAAGAUUCAGAUGCGGUUAGAGAAACAAGCGAUGGUGGGUUUUCAGUCGGCGUAUAUGGAAUUAAGAUGGAUUAGAAGAAGAAGCACUCAAAUCUCACAAACGGAUGGAAAGCUGCUAAGCCCAGCAAUUAGGCCGCCUUUUCCUAUUUACAUUUCCACGGACCCAAAACACAUUGAUCUUCACCAGCUGCAACAGCUUUAUGCCAAUUGCAACCACUCGUGCCAUAGGUUCCCCAAUUACGUGGACUCCCAUGGCCGCGUCGAACCCGUCGAUAUCCAUAAGCUCGGCGUUGCUCUGUCUCACAGCGCUGUGCUUGUCUCCGUAUUCUGCAAACCUCACCAUAUUGUUGAUGAUGACGGGGAUAGCGAUUCCACUUCCUCCACGGAUUCGUCGAAGACGAUUAUGGGUAUGGCAGAUUUCUUGCAGAGCGUGACGCCGGUUUCUCCCUUCGACGGUCAGUUGGUGGGCUUUGGCCGUGCCAUUUCUGAUUGCGGCCUUACCGCUUCAAUCUACGAUGUGAUGUACUUUGCAGGUCAUUCCUUCCCUCUGGAGACUGGGAAUUGGCCGAGUGAUAGUUAAAAAAAUUGUAAGGAUGCUCACAAAUAGAGACAUUUAUGACAUCGCAGCUCUUUGUACAGAGAAUGAGAGGUUAUUCUUUAAGGCAUGUGGAUUUGGAGGUGACAUUUUGGGCUCUACUACCAUGAUGUACACGAAGGCUACAUCAUCAACG